UUUCCCCACCCACCCUGGUGUCCUGGGGGUUCUGUCCUUCCCUUUGCCCUCUGACAGCUCUCCCUGACUCUCUCCUAGGGCGAAAAGGGCAGCAAGGGUGACCUGGGCCAGCAAGGGGAUGAUGGCUUCAAGGGCAAGCCAGGACCCCACGGUGUCCCUGGGAGGCCAGGACCCAAGGGAAGGCAGGGUGACACUGGCCCCCCUGGCCCACAGGGACACCCUGGAAUUCCUGGGACACCGGGCUUGUCUGGACCCAAAGGGCUGAGAGGCUUCCCAGGCCAGCCAGGCCCCAGGGGCACGCCAGGAAUGCCGGUGAGCAGAGCCACAAACACCCCUCAGCCCAAAAUCUGGGUCCCUCACUCCCUAAAGGUGGCAGUGAGACC
rnacentral:lncRNA from 1 species